rnacentral:rRNA from 1 species
AAGGAGGCCGCCCCCUCGCCCGUCACGCAACGCACGUUCAUGGGGAACCUGGUGCUAAACCCUUCAUAGACGAUCUGCUUCUCGGUCCGGGUUUCAUACCUAGCAGAGCAGCUCCCUUGCUGCGAUCUAUUGAAAGUCAGCCCUCGACACAAGGGUUUGU